UAUUUUUAAAGGGCCGCGGUAUACUGACCGUGCGAAGGUAGCAUAAUCAUUAGUCUUUUAAUUGAAGGCUUGUAUGAAUGGUUGGACAAAAAGUAAUCUGUCUCAAUUGUAAUAGUUGAACUUAACUUUUAAGUGAAAAGGCUUAAAUACUUUAAGGGGACGAUAAGACCCUAUAAAACUUGACAAUAAAUUAGUUAAAUUAUAAAUUGUUAGUAUAACUUGAUUUUAGUUAAUGUUUGUUGCGUUGGGGCGACGGGAAUAUAAUUAGUAACUGUUCUUAAAUACUUAUUAACAAGUAUAAUUGAAAAAUAAUUGAUCCUUUAUUAAAGAUUAAAAGAUUAAGUUACUUUAGGGAUAACAGCGUAAUCUUCUUUGAGAGUCCUCAUCGACAAGAAGGUUUGCGACCUCGAUGUUGAAUUAAGGUAUCCUUAUAAUGCAG
rnacentral:rRNA from 1 species